rnacentral:rRNA from 1 species
UGGGGAAUUUUGGACAAUGGACGCGAGUCUGAUCCAGCCAUGCCGCGUGCGGGAAGAAGGCCUUCGGGUUGUAAACCGCUUUUGUCAGGGAAGAAACGAGUUUCUCUAAUACAGAGACUUAAUGACGGUACCUGAAGAAUAAGCACCGGCUAACUACGUGCCAGCAGCCGCGGUAAUACGUAGGGUGCAAGCGUUAAUCGGAAUUACUGGGCGUAAAGGGAGCGUAGGCGGACAUUUAAGUCAGGGGUGAAAUCCCGGGGCUCAACCUCGGAAUUGCCUUUGUGACUGCAUAGCUAGAGUACGGUAGAGGGGGAUGGAAUUCCGCGUGUAGCAGUGAAAUGCGUAGAUAUGCGGAGGAACACCGAUGGCGAAGGCAAUCCCCUGGACCUGUACUGACGCUCAUGCACGAAAGCGUGGGGAGCAAACA